UUGCAAGGUCAAGUGAAGAAGGGCGCACGGUGAAUGCCUUGGCACUGGAAGCCGAUGAAGGACGCGACUAACCGCGAAAGUCUUCGGGGAGCCGUAAGUAGGCUUUGAUCCGGAGGUCUCCGAAUGGGGGAACCCAGCAUGUGCAGACAUGCUAUCCUUAAGUGAAUACAUAGCUUAAGGAGGGAACACGCAGUGAACUGAAACAUCUAAGUAGCUGCAGGAAGAGAAAGAAAUAUCGAUUUCCCAAGUAGCGGCGAGCGAACAGGAAAGAGCCCAAACCGGCAGAUUUAUCUGCCGGGGUUGUAGGACUGAGACAUGGCACUUCAGAGGAUAGCAGAAGCGUUUGGGAAAGCGCGCCAGAGAGGGUGAGAGCCCCGUAAGCGAAAUCCAAAGAAGGCCUAUCAGUAUCCUGAGUAGGGCGGGACACGUGAAAUCCCGUUUGAAUCCGCGAGGACCAUCUCGCAAGGCUAAAUACUAACCAGUGACCGAUAGUGAACCAGUACCGUGAGGGAAAGGUGAAAAGAACCCCGGGAGGGGAGUGAAAGAGAACCUGAAACCGUGUGCCUACAAGUAGUCAGAGCCCGUUAACGGGUAAUGGCGUGCCUUUUGUAGAAUGAACCGGCGAGUUGCGUUAGUCAGCAAGGUUAAGUCAGAAAAGACGGAGCCGUAGCGAAAGCGAGUCUGAAGAGGGCGAGCAGUUGGCUGACGCAGACCCGAAACCAAGUGACCUACCCAUGACCAGGUUGAAGGCGCGGUAAAACGCGCUGGAGGACCGAACCCACGUAAGUUGAAAAUUGCGGGGAUGAGUUGUGGGUAGCGGUGAAAUUCCAAACGAACUUGGAGAUAGCUGGUUCUCUCCGAAAUAGCUUUAGGGCUAGCCUCGCAAAGAGGAUGCUGGAGGUAGAGCUCUGUUUGGACUAGGGGCCCGUCAAGGGUUACUGAAUUCAGAUAAACUGCGAAUUCCAGACAUUUAUGUGCGGGAGUCAGACUGCGAGUGAUAAGAUCCGUAGUCGAAAGGGAAACAGCCCAGAUCACCAGUUAAGGUCCCAAAAUUCAUGCUAAGUGGAAAAGGAUGUGGAGUUGCGCAGACAACUAGGACGUUGGCUCAGAAGCAGCCAUCAUUCAAAGAGUGCGUAAUAGCUCACUAGUCGAGUGACGCCGCGCCGAAAAUUUACCGGGGCUAAGCAUGAUACCGAAACUGUGGAUGUGCAUUUAUGCACGUGGUAGGAGAGCGUUCUAGCGGCGGUGAAGCAUGACCGAGAGGACAUGUGGAGCUUCUAGAAGUGAGAAUGCCGGUAUGAGUAACGAAAGACAGGUGAGAAUCCUGUCCGCCGCAAGACUAAGGUUUCCUGGGGCAGGCUCGUCCGCCCAGGGUAAGUCGGGACCUAAGGCGAGGCCGAGAGGCGUAGUCGAUGGACAACAGGUUGAAAUUCCUGUACUGCACCGAAUCGUUAUGAGCGAUGGAGGGACGCAGGAGGCUAGCAGCGCGUGGUGCUGGAUACCACGUUCAAGCGUCAAGUCUGAGAGCGAGUCAAAUGCUUGCUCUCAUAAGGACAAGGCGUGAUGAGGAGCGAAAUUAAAGUAGCGAAGGCUGCGACGUCACACUGCCGAGAAAAGCUUCUAGCCAGAGACGGUGCACCCGUACCGCAAACCGACACAGGUAGUCGAGGAGAGUAUCCUCAGGUGAGCGAGAGAACUCUCGUUAAGGAACUCGGCAAAAUGGCCCCGUAACUUCGGGAGAAGGGGCGCUGGUCGCAAGAUCAGCCGCAGUGAAAAGGCCCAAGCAACUGUUUAUCAAAAACACAGGCAUCUGCAAAAUCGUAAGAUGAAGUAUAGGUGCUGACACCUGCCCGGUGCUGGAAGGUUAAGAGGAGAGCUUAGCGCAAGCGAAGGUUUGAAUUGAAGCCCCAGUAAACGGCGGCCGUAACUAUAACGGUCCUAAGGUAGCGAAAUUCCUUGUCGGGUAAGUUCCGACCUGCACGAAAGGUGUAAUGAUUUGGGCACUGUCUCAACGAGAGACUCGGUGAAAUUAUAAUACCCGUGAAGAUGCGGGUUACCCGCGACAGGACGGAAAGACCCCAUGGAGCUUUACUGCAGUUUAAUAUUGGGUAUCUGUCAAGCAUGUACAGGAUAGGUAGGAGCCGGAGAAGAUAGGACGCCAGUCUUAUCAGAGGCGCUGUUGGGAUACUACCCUUGCUUGACGGAUGCUCUAACUCAGG
rnacentral:rRNA from 1 species